rnacentral:rRNA from 1 species
GAUGAACGCUGGCGGCGUGCCUAAUACAUGCAAGUCGAGCGAACAGAUGAGGAGCUUGCUCCUCUGACGUUAGCGGCGGACGGGUGAGUAACACGUGGAUAACCUACCUAUAAGACUGGGAUAACUUCGGGAAACCGGAGCUAAUACCGGAUAAUAUAUUGAACCGCAUGGUUCAAUAGUGAAAGACGGUUUUGCUGUCACUUAUAGAUGGAUCCGCGCCGCAUUAGCUAGUUGGUAAGGUAACGGCUUACCAAGGCAACGAUGCGUAGCCGACCUGAGAGGGUGAUCGGCCACACUGGAACUGAGACACGGUCCAGACUCCUACGGGAGGCAGCAGUAGGGAAUCUUCCGCAAUGGGCGAAAGCUUGACGGAGCAACGCCGCGUGUGUGAUGAAGGUCUUCGGAUCGUAAAACUCUGUUAUUAGGGAAGAACAAAUGUGUAAGUAACUAUGCACGUCUUGACGGUACCUAAUCAGAAAGCCACGGCUAACUACGUG